rnacentral:rRNA from 1 species
CCUACGGGGGGCAGCAGUGGGGAAUAUUGCACAAUGGGCGCAAGCCUGAUGCAGCCAUGCCGCGUGUGUGAAGAAGGCCUUCGGGUUGUAAAGCACUUUCAGCGGGGAGGAAGGCGUUAAGGUUAAUAACCUUGUCGAUUGACGUUACCCGCAGAAGAAGCACCGGCUAACUCCGUGCCAGCAGCCGCGGUAAUACGGAGGGUGCAAGCGUUAAUCGGAAUUACUGGGCCUAAAGCGCACGCAGGCGGUCUGUCAAGUUGGAUGUGAAAUCCCCGGGCUCAACCUGGGAACUGCAUUCGAAACUGGCAGGCUAGAGUCUUGUAGAGGGGGGUAGAAUUCCAGGUGUAGCGGUGAAAUGCGUAGAGAUCUGGAGGAAUACCGGUGGCGAAGGCGGCCCCCUGGACAAAGACUGACGCUCAGGUGCGAAAGCGUGGGGAGCAAACAGGAUUAGAUACCCCUGUAGUC